GAUAAACUGGCCAGAAUGUAUAUAGAUUAAUAUUAUGAAGUGAUUAAUAUUAUGUUGUUUUUCGAAAAUUUGACGAAUUUAAUUUCACUUAUGGACAAAAUUUUUAAUGCCAUCGGAUAGAAUACCAAGCAUAUGAGUAAAGAGUUUCCUAUUAGAAUGGUCAACGGAUUUGAUAGAAGC